GAUGAAGAACGUAGCGAAAUGCGAUAAGUAAUGCGAAUUGCAGAAUUUCCGUGAGUCAUCGAAUCUUUGAACGCACAUUGCGCCCGGUAGUAUUCUGCCGGGCAUGCCUGUUCGAGCGUCAUUUCAACCAUCAAGCCCCAGCGCUUGUGUUGGGGGCCUGCGGCUGCCGCAGCCCCCCAAAAGCAGUGGCGGGCUCGCUAUCACACCGAGUGCAGUAGUUCAUCUUCUCUCCGGUCUUGUGAGGCGGGUUCCGGCCGUGAAACACCCCACUACAUUCAAGGUUGACCUCGGAUCAGGUAGGAAUACCCGCUGAACUUAAGCAUAUCAAUAAGCGGAGGA
rnacentral:misc_RNA from 1 species